UUAAAGUAGUAAGGGCGCAGGGUGGAUGCCUUGGCACUAAGAGCCGAUGAAAGACGUGAUAAGCUGCGAAAAGCUUCGGGGAGGAGCACAUAUCCAAUGAUCCGGAGAUAUCUGAAUGGGGAAACCCGGCAGAGGAAACCUCUGUCAGCGUGCAGUGAAUACAUAGCUGUACGUGGGGAACCCGGGGAACUGAAACAUCUAAGUACCCGGAGGAAGAGAAAGAAAAUUUAUCGAUUUCCAAAGUAGCGGCGAGCGAAAUGGAAAGAGCCCAAACCGUGAUGCGUGCAUCGCGGGGUUCGGACUGCGUUGUGGCAGACGUAAGAUAGGAGAACGGACUGGGAAGUCCGGCCGGAGAGAGUGAAAGCCUCGUAUCCGAAAUCCCAAGUCGCCUAGCAGGAUCCAGAGUAGGACGAGACACGAGAAACCUUGUCUGAACGAGCGGGGACCACCCCGUAAGGCUAAAUACUUCUUAGUGACCGAUAGCGCAUAGUACUGUGAAGGAAAGGUGAAAAGUACCCCGGGAGGGGAGUGAAAGAGAACCUGAAACCCUGUGUCUACAAGCUGUGGGACCUCUUUAUAUGAGGGACUGCGUACUUUUUGUAGAACGGUCCGGCGAGUUGUGCGUACUGGCGAGGUUAAGGACUUAAGGUCCGGAGCCGAAGUGAAAGCAAGCGUUAAUAGCGCGUCAAGUCAGUGAGUGCAGACCCGAAACCGGGUGACCUAUCCAUGUCCAGGUUGAAGCUUCCGUAAGAGGAAGUGGAGGACCGAACCCACAUCCGUUGAAAAGGGUGGGGAUGAGGUGUGGAUAGCGGAGAAAUUCCAAUCGAACCCGGAGAUAGCUGGUUCUCCUCGAAAUAGCUUUAGGGCUAGCCUCAUGAGAGUCUUAUGGAGGUAGAGCACUGAAUUGCCUAGGGGGCGUCAAAGCUUACCAAAGCAUAUCAAACUCCGAAUGCCAUCAAGAUGAUUCAUGGGAGUCAGACCAUACGAGAUAAGUUGGAUGGUCAAAAGGGAAAGAGCCCAGACCUACAGCUAAGGUCCCAAAGUACGUGUUAAGUGGAAAAGGAUGUGGGGAUUCUAAGACAACUAGGACGUUGGCUUAGAAGCAGCCAUUCAUUGAAAGAGUGCGUAAUAGCUCACUAGUCGAGAGUCCCUGCGCCGAAAAUGUCCGGGGCUGAAACACGACACCGAAGCUUAGGAAUGUGUAAACAUUGGUAGAGGAGCAUUGCUGGCGGGAUGAAGCCAUACCGUAAGGAGUGGUGGACUGCUAGGAAGAGAGAAUGCCGGAAUGAGUAGCGAGAUGAAGGUGAGAAUCCUUCAGGCCGAAUAUCUAAGGUUUCCAGAGUAAAGCUGAUCUGCUCUGGGUAAGUCGGGACCUAAGGCGAGGUCGAAAGACGUAGUCGAUGGAUAACAGGUUGAAAUUCCUGUACCGCAUAUAAACAGAACUGUGGGGACACAGACAGGGAAUGGAAUCCGGGAAUGGAUAUCCCGGUGCAAGCGAGGUAGGAGUGCUGUUGGCAAAUCCGCAGCACGAUCUGAAGACGUGACGCGUACCGAACAUAAGUAGGGAAGUCCAGGCCCCUGGCUGUCAAGAAAAGCCGCUAUUGUUUUAUAUGUGCCCGUACCGCAAACCGACACAGGUGGAUGAGGAGAGAAUCCUAAGGCCGACGGGAGAAGUAUUGUUAAGGAACUCGGCAAAAUGACUCCGUAACUUCGGGAGAAGGAGUGCCAUGAGAGUGGCCGCAGAGAAAUGGCCCAAGCAACUGUUUAGCAAAAACACAGGUCUAUGCAAAACCGCAAGGUGAAGUAUAUGGGCUGACGCCUGCCCGGUGCUGGAAGGUUAAGGGGAGAGGUUAGCGCAAGCGAAGCUUUGAACUUAAGCCCCAGUAAACGGCGGCCGUAACUAUAACGGUCCUAAGGUAGCGAAAUUCCUUGUCGGGUAAGUUCC
rnacentral:rRNA from 1 species